GUUUUAAGGCGUUUUGUUAAGAGAAACGUAUUUACGUUGAAAAAAAAAUAUUUUGAUGAUGUAAUAUGUGAUAUUAUACAACGAGACAAAAUUUUAUUUCAAAACGUUUUAUUAAUAAUUCGACACACAUAGAGGGAGUUCGUAAAUUAUUCACAUUUAGGUGUUUUAUAUAAAACCCCAAAGCGAAAUUAUAUACAGACGGUCAAAAACUGCUUAAUAAUUCGUGGAACUGCAAAGAUUUAAAACAAAGUUGCCGAUAAAUAAAUAAUGAAAAAAAAUAAACGUAGAGCGGUUAACCUUGAAGAAGAAAUCCGUGUUUAAGUUGAUACAGAUGCGGGAGAUGCGAACAGGUUUUCAGUCACACUGACACGGUGAUCUAAUGUUGAAAAUCAUUUUUUUUUAUAUUCUUUUUCUUCCUCCCUCCACAUUUUUUUAAUUAAAAUACGUGUUUACAUGU